GCGGCUGUAGCUUAGCUGGUCUAAAGCGCCGUCCUGUCACGACGGAGACCGCCGGUUCAAAUCCGGUCAGCCGCG
rnacentral:tRNA from 1 species